UACGUAGGGGGCAAGCGUUGUCCGAAGUUACUGGGCGUAAAGCGCACGUAGGCGGCGGCGCAAGUUACAUUUGAAAAGCAGCAGCUCAACUGCUGUCAGUGGUGUAAGACUGCGUUGCUUGAGGCAAGCAAAAGAGUGUGGAACUCCGAGUGUAGCGGUGGAAUGCGUAGAGAUUCGGAAGAACACCCAUGGCGAAGGCAGCACUCUAGGCUUGACCUGACGCUGAGGAGCGAAAGCCAGGGGAGCGAACGGG
rnacentral:rRNA from 1 species